AGAGUUUGAUCCUGGCUCAGAGCGAACGCUGGCGGCAGGCCUAACACAUGCAAGUCGAACGGACCCUUCGGGGUUAGUGGCGGACGGGUGAGUAACACGUGGGAACGUGCCCUUUGGUUCGGAACAACGCAGGGAAACUUGUGCUAAUACCGGAUAAGCCCUUCGGGGGAAAGAUUUAUUGCCAUUGGAGCGGCCCGCGUUGGAUUAGGUAGUUGGUGAGGUAAAGGCUCACCAAGCCUGCGAUCCAUAGCUGGUCUGAGAGGAUGAUCAGCCACAUUGGGACUGAGACACGGCCCAAACUCCUACGGGAGGCAGCAGUGGGGAAUCUUGCGCAAUGGGCGAAAGCCUGACGCAGCCAUGCCGCGUGAAUGAUGAAGGUCUUAGGAUUGUAAAAUUCUUUCAGCGGGGACGAUAAUGACCUUACCCGCAGAAGAAGCUCCGGCUAACUUCGUGCCAGCAGCCGCGGUAAUACGAAGGGGGCUAGCGUUGCUCGGAAUUACUGGGCGUAAAGGGAGCGUAGGCGGAUAGUUUAGUCAGAGGUGAAAGCCCAGGG
rnacentral:rRNA from 1 species